GGACAGAGAAGAAAAUGAAAUGAGUGGAGCAGAAGAGAGGAGAACAGUUAGGGAGACAAUAGAACAGAAAGGUGGAGAGCAGGGGAGGAGUUAAACGGGGAGAUAAAGGAGAAAGGAAAGGAGAGAGGACAGAAAGAGGGACAUAAAGAGAUGUAAAAAAGAAAGAAAGAGGGGAAGAGAGGAGAAGAAUAAUGAGGAAUUACUGAUAAGUGAAAUAGAAAAAGAAGAAUAGGAGAGACAGAAGACAAAAAAAGAGAAAAGAAGAGGAGAGUAGCAGUGAUGAACGCAGCCCGGAUCCAUGACAAACACAAGCUGAAGUCAUUCUGGGAGCAGAGGAUUGUUCAGCACAGCGAGCAGAUGGACGAGGAGGAGAACCGUGUGAGGAGCAGCUCUCUGACACGGCUCAGGGAGCAGUGGUUGGUCCGGUUGGAUCAGAGGAAUCAGCACCAACAGAGCUUCUUCGAGGAGAGAAUCAGACGAGCUCAGAAAGCUCAGCAGAGCCUCAAGAAGCUCAACGCUCCUUAAAGAUGGGAAAUGAAGCUGGAGAAGGUCACAAAAUAUAUAUAUAUUUUUUUGGUUGCUGUCAGAAAAUGAAGGUUUUAUCCUCUACAUUGAAUUUUAUUCCUGGUGCCAUUGUUUUGUCAGUAUUUGGCUCACUUUAGCCACAGCAAGCUGUAUCAUCGUGUGUUUCCGCUGUUGCUGGAUAGCCUGCUUUCUAGGAGGACCAAGCAAGACCAAGCAGAAUCAAAUGUCAAAUGUGUCGUCACAACAUCAAUCCAACAAAAACAGCUCUCUUCAUAGCAAG